GGAAUGCUUGAAGAGAACCCAUAAACUAAACGUCGAACGAGCCUUCCGUUCUUCGGCGAGACAGAGACAGCCAGACAGCUUUAUGUUCGUUGUUCGGCAGUAGAGGAGGCAAAGGGGAAAAAGAAGUCAUCUUUCUCCUCAGUGAACCCAUCGUUGAUAUUAUCCAGAGCUAUGCUUCUUCUUUUCAGAAGCAAAGGUGAUGGGAGCACAUGUAACUGUGGCCCCGUAUGACAUCAAGUCGUCUGCUUAGUGAUUUCAAGAUUGCAUAACAUCUGUUUGAUGAAAUGCUUCAGCGGGAACAUAGGAGGUGGCAAUAUGGUUUUCGCUGUUGAUUGGAGGAUAGUAGGCGGGGGAUGAUUGUGUGGAAGCGGUGUAUUCAUGGUUCACGUAAAAUUUAAGCUUACCAAUCAAUCGAAUAGGAAUCCAUUUCUAGAUCCCCGCCCUCGAAGCAAAACAACGUCCCAGUCUCUUCUUCGGGAAUCGUGAAGGUACGAGUCCAUAUAUGCACAGGGUUGUGUGCGAUUAAGCUACGAAGAUUGGGUUUUGUGCGGAUUCGAGAUUUUCGUUUCUGAAACAUAAGUGGGUGUCUUUUGGCUUGUUAUUUGUCAUGGUUGUUCAUAUGAAGAUGCGAAGCAUUUGGCGUCUUGCUCAUUUUGGAAAACUCGAUGCCCUCAAGUACACGUACACUGCCUUUGCUAGAUAUUGUCACUCUGAGCCACUCGGUGUCACUGCUACUUAUUUGGAACCAUCGCCUUCAUCAAGUAACAAGAAUAGUGUGGCCAUCUUUUGGGAUUUAGACAACAAGCCCCCUAAUUCGUUCCCUCCAUUUGAUGCUGCUAUCAAGCUCAGAGCUUCGGCUUCUUCGUUCGGUGUGGUCCAGUACAUGGUGGCUUAUGCUAAUCGUCACGCAUUCAGCCACAUCCCUCCAGUUGUUAGAGAGCAGAGGAAAGAGAGGAAGGUGUUGAACAAGUUGGAAAAUAAGGGUGUGAUCAGGCUGGUGGAGCCGUACUUGUGUCGCGUGUGUGGGAGGAAAUUCUAUACAAACGAAAAAUUUGUUAAUCAUUUCAAGCAAAUCCACGAGCGCGAACAUAUGAAGAGGGUGAGUCAAAUAGAGUCCGCGAGGGGAAAGAGGAGGGUGAACUUGGUUGCUAAGUACUCGAUGAAAAUGGAGAAGUACAAGAGUGCCGCGAGGGAUGCUUUGACCCCCAAAGUCGGGUACGGUUUAGCGGAUGAGUUGAAACGAGCGGGGUUUUUCGUGAAUAUGGUCUCAGAUAGGCCUCAAGCAGCGGAUGUUGCAUUGAGGAAUAACAUGGUUGAUGUGAUGGAUAAGAGGAAGGCUGAUUGUUUGGUCCUGGUCUCAGAUGAUUCGGAUUUUGUUGAUGUUUUGAAGGAAGCGAAGCUGAGGUGUCUUAGGACUGUUGUUGUGGGAGAUAUAAACGACGGACCUUUGAAGAGAACGGCAGAUGUUGGGUUCUCGUGGAGGGAUAUUCUGAUGGGGAAGGCUAAGAAAGAAGCUGUGUCGGUUAUGGGCCAUUGGAAAGACCGUGACAUUUUGAAGAGGCUGGAGUGGACUUACAACCCAGAAGUGGAUAGGAAAAUGUAUGAUUAUUAUGACGAGAGUGAAAGCCAGGAUUUUGAAGACAGUGAGGGCGGAGUAGAUGUUGAAUUUAUAGAAAAAGAUGAUAGGAGAGCUUGGUGGGAUCUGGACUCAGAUGAUGAUGCUUCUUCUCAGGCAUCUCAUUUAUCUUCAUGAUCGUUGAUGAACCGAAUUGAUUUGGCACAUAUAUCGGUAGACGCAGAAUCAGUUGAGUCAUCAAUAUUUAACACUGCAUCCUUCUGGCAGAACUUUCUCUCUCUCAAUUUCGAGGGCUUUCUGGCUAAUCUGUGGAUGAUGAUGCAGAAAUGUGGUCGAGCUCAAAGGCUUAAGUUAAGUUGAACUCCUACCUAAGCAGGAUCAGAGGAAGUUAUUAUCAGGCAGGAUCAGAAGCUUGCAGGGAAUUUAUGCUGUUGCAGACUUGCAGGGUAUUAGAGAGCUCAAACCUUCCAGUUCAACAUCACUUUGCAGAUCUUCAGGCUUCCACGACGUGGCAGUUAGAAAG